UACAGAGGGUGCAAGCGUUGUUCGGAAUUAUUGGGCGUAAAGGGCGCGUAGGCGGUGCGGUAAGUCUGUAGUGAAAUCUCUGGGCUCAACUCAGAGUCUGCUAUAGAAACUGCCGUGCUUGAGUGUGGGAGAGGUGAGUGGAAUUCCCGGUGUAGCGGUGAAAUGCGUAGAUAUCGUCAGGAACGCCGGUGGUGAAGACGGGUGACUUGGCCGGUUCUGACACUGAGGCACGAAAGCGUGGGGAGCGAACGGG
rnacentral:rRNA from 1 species